UACGAAGGGGGCUAGCGUUGCUCGGAAUCACUGGGCGUAAAGGGCGCGUAGGCGGAUCUUUAAGUCGGGGGUGAAAGCCUGAGGCUCAACCUCAGAACUGCCAUUGAUACUGAUGAUCUUGAGUAUGAUUGAGGUGGGCGGAAUGUGUCAUGUAGCGGUGAAAUGCUUAGAUAUGACACAGAACACCGAUUGCGAAGGCAGCUCACUAAGCCAUAACUGACGCUGAUGCACGAAAGCGUGGGGAGCAAACAGG
rnacentral:rRNA from 1 species